UACGUAGGGUGCAAGCGUUGUCCGGAAUUAUUGGGCGUAAAGCGCGCGCAGGCGGUUUCUUAAGUCUGAUGUGAAAGCCCACGGCUCAACCGUGGAGGGUCAUUGGAAACUGGGGAACUUGAGUGCAGAAGAGAAAAGCGGAAUUCCACGUGUAGCGGUGAAAUGCGUAGAGAUGUGGAGGAACACCAGUGGCGAAGGCGGCUUUUUGGUCUGUAACUGACG
rnacentral:rRNA from 1 species